UACGAAUGGAGCAAGCGUUGUUCGGAAUCACUGGGCUUAAAGCGUAUGUAGGCGGACUUACAAGUCAGGAGUGAAAUCCCAGAGCUCAACUCUGGAACUGCUCUUGAAACUGUAAGUCUAGAAUCCUGGAGAGGUUAGGAGAAUUCCGAGUGUAGAGGUGAAAUUCGCAGAUAUUCGGAGGAAUACCAGUGGCGUAGGCGCCUAACUGGACAGGUAUUGACGCUCAGAUACGAAAGCGUGGGGAGCAAACAGG
rnacentral:rRNA from 1 species